AGAAAUCCCCACAGCGUAAUGUGCCAUCAUAGCUCAGGGACAAUAUGUGAGCCGGAUUGGCAGUUCUGAGACUAUAGGUGAAAAUCUCAGGGUGUGGUCAAUUCACCAGGACGGAUUUUCAGGGUAGAAGCUAAACCAAACUGUGCUCCCUAUCAUCUCGGCUACAGAAUUUGUUUCUGUCCUGGUGGACAGAAAAAUCAACAACUUUUCUAGGAUCCUUAAGAGUGGCAAGGACACAGUGAAAACCGCUGACCCCAAUAUUGGAGAGAGACACACAGGAAAACACAGGACUCAUGGCUUAUUGGAGCAGAGACUCAGGAAUGAAGUGCCUGAACCACCAGAAAAACCUAAACUGUAAUUGACCAACUGCUGGAGGCUCAGUGUGGACAAGUCUGGGAGUUAAAAACUCCAUGAGAAGCUACACAAAACCUGCACAUGGGUGUGUAUAGUACAU